rnacentral:rRNA from 1 species
AUGCAUCAGCCGGUCUGGGCUCGUCCGCGCACGGGACUAUGCACCAGCGGAACACAUCUACCCCGAGCCGGACUGCAACUACAUCAACAUCUACACCGAGCGAUCGACUCCUCCACCGAGCAGAACUGCAUAACCUACACCGAGCUGUACGACUACAUCGUCAGAAAAAAAAAAUCUUUGUCAAGUACAUCUACAAGAAGCGACACCAACAUGCAUCGUCCACACGCCAGGCCGGUGUGGAAAGAGAUGCAAUUCUUCAUCGACUUCUCCGGCACGACACGGCGUCGACACACCGUCGCUGCAAGGGACGCCUUCAAGCGACACCAUCGUCGACACGCUGUUGCAACGCCAUAG